UACGAGGGGGGCAAGCGUUGUUCGGAAUUAUUGGGCGUAAAGGGUGCGUAGGCGGCCUGACAAGUCUGAUGUGAAAUCCCUGGGCUCAACCCAGGGCCUGCAUCGGAAACUGUCGGGCUUGAGUAUGGGAGAGGUGAGUGGAAUUUCCGGUGUAGCGGUGAAAUGCGUAGAUAUCGGAAGGAACACCUGUGGCGAAAGCGGCUCACUGGGCCACAACUGACGCUGAGGCGCGAAAGCUAGGGGAGCAAACAGG
rnacentral:rRNA from 1 species